CCUACGGGAGGCAGCAGUGGGGAAUAUUGCGCAAUGGGCGAAAGCCUGACGCAGCGACGCCGCGUGAGGGAUGAAGGUCUUCGGAUCGUAAACCUCUGUCAGCAGGGAAGAACGGUCACUGUGCUAAUCAGCAGUGAAUUGACGGUACCUGCAAAGGAAGCACCGGCUAACUCCGUGCCAGCAGCCGCGGUAAUACGGAGGGUGCGAGCGUUAAUCGGAAUUACUGGGCGUAAAGCGCUCGUAGGCGGUAUGUCAAGUCAAGGGUGAAAUCCCCGCGCUCAACGUGGGAACUGCCUUUGAAACCGGCAAAACGGAGUGUGUGAGAGGAGAGUGGAAUUCCAGGGGUAGGAGUGAAAUCCGUAGAUAUCUGGAGGAACAUCAGGGGCGAAGGCGACUAUCUGGCACAUAACCGACGCUGAGGAGCGAAAGCGUGGGUAGCAAACAGGAUUAGAUACCCUUGUAGUC
rnacentral:rRNA from 1 species